CUAGUAUAAUAUUUAUAUUGUGAAACUGCGAAUGGCUCAUUAAAUCAGUUAUAGUUUAUUUGAUAAUAUCUACUACUUGGAUAACCGUGGUAAUUCUAGAGCUAAUACAUGCGAAAAAGCCCGACUUCGGAAGGGCUGUAUUUAUUAGAUACAAAACCAAUGCGCUUCGGCGGUUUUUUGGUGAUUCAUAAUAACUUUUCGGAUCGCAUGGCCUUGUGCCGGCGACGUUUCAUUCAAAUUUCUGCCCUAUCAACUUUCGAUGGUAAGGUAUUGGCUUACCAUGGUUACAACGGGUAACGGAGAAUUAGGGUUCGAUUCCGGAGAGGGAGCCUGAGAAACGGCUACCACUUCCAAGGAAGGCAGCAGGCGCGCAAAUUACCCAAUCCUGACACAGGGAGGUAGUGACAAAAAAUAACAAUACAGGAACUUUUAAAAGCCUUGUAAUUGGAAUGAGUACAAUUUAAACCCCUUAACGAGGAACAAUUGGAGGGCAAGUCUGGUGCCAGCAGCCGCGGUAAUUCCAGCUCCAAUAGCGUAUAUUAAAGUUGUUGCAGUUAAAAAGCUCGUAGUUGGAUUUUGGAAUGUGUGUAAUGGUCUGCCGUGAGGUAUGCACUGUUAGGCGCAUUCUUCUUCUCAAAGACUGUGUGUGCUCUUAAUUGAGUGUGGGCAGGGUUUGGGACUUUUACUGUGAGAAAAUUAGAGUGUUUAAAGCAGGCGUUUGCUUGAAUAUUGCAGCAUGGAAUAAUGGAAUAGGAUCACGAUCUUAUUUUGUUGGUUUCUAGGAUCGAGAUAAUGAUUAAUAGGGAUAGUUGGGGACAUUAAUAUUUAAUUGUCAGAGGUGAAAUUCUUGGAUUUAUGAAAGAUUAACUUCUGCGAAAGCAUUUGUCAAGGAUGUUUUCGUUAAUCAAGAACGAAAGUUAGGGGAUCGAAGACGAUCAGAUACCGUCGUAGUCUUAACCAUAAACUAUGCCGACUAGGGAUUGGUGGCAGUUAAUUAUAUGACUCCAUCAGCACCUUAUGAGAAAUCAAAGUUU
rnacentral:rRNA from 1 species